rnacentral:rRNA from 1 species
AUUGAACGCUGGCGGAAUGCUUUACACAUGCAAGUCGAACGGUAGAGGGGGCAACCCCUCGAGAGUGGCGAACGGGUGAGUAAUAUAUCGGAACGUGCCCAGUCGUGGGGGAUAACGUAGCGAAAGUUACGCUAAUACCGCAUACGAUCUACGGAUGAAAGCGGGGGACUCGCAAGAGCCUCGCGCGAUUGGAGCGGCCGAUAUCAGAUUAGGUAGUUGGUGGGGUAAAGGCUCACCAAGCCAACGAUCUGUAGCUGGUCUGAGAGGACGACCAGCCACACUGGAACUGAGACACGGUCCAGACUCCUACGGGAGGCAGCAGUGGGGGAAUUUUGGACAAUGGACGCAAGUCUGAUCCAGCCAUUCCGCGUGCAGGAUGAAGGCCCUCGGGUUGUAAACUGCUUUUGUACGGAACGAAAAGGUCUGGGUUAAUACCCUGGGCUCAUGACGGUACCGUAAGAAUAAGCACCGGCUAACUACGUG